rnacentral:rRNA from 1 species
AUGAACGCUAGCGACAGGCCUAACACAUGCAAGUCGAGGGGCAGCACAAGGAGCAAUCUGAGGUGGCGACCGGCGCACGGGUGAGUAACACGUAUGCAACCUGCCUGUAAGCGGGGAAUAACCCGUUGAAAGACGGACUAAUACCGCAUAAUACUAAAUUACUGCAUGGUAAUUUAUUUAAACAUUUAUGGCUUACAGAUGGGCAUGCGCAUGAUUAGCUAGUUGGAGAGGUAACGGCUCCCCAAGGCAACGAUCAUUAGGGGUUCUGAGAGGAAGGUCCCCCCACACUGGUACUGAGACACGGACCAGACUCCUACGGGAGGCAGCAGUGAGGAAUAUUGGUCAAUGGACGAGAGUCUGAACCAGCCAAGUCGCGUGCAGGAAGAAUUGUCCUAUGGAUUGUAAACUGCUUUUGCAGGGGAAUAAAGUGCAUCACGUGUGAUGUUUUGUAUGUACUCUGCGAAUAAGGAUCGGCUAACUCCGUGCCAGCAGCCGC